rnacentral:rRNA from 1 species
CAGUGAUAAACUGGAGGAAGGUGGGGAUGACGUCAAGUCAUCAUGGCCCUUACGAGUAGGGCUACACACGUGCUACAAUGGCAUAUACAAAGAGAAGCGACCUCGCGAGAGCAAGCGGACCUCAUAAAGUAUGUCGUAGUCCGGAUUGGAGUCUGCAACUCGACUCCAUGAAGUCGGAAUCGCUAGUAAUCGUAGAUCAGAAUGCUACGGUGAAUACGUUCCCGGGCCUUGUACACACCGCCCGUCACACCAUGGGAGUGGGU